rnacentral:rRNA from 1 species
GUGGGGAAUAUUGGGCAAUGGGCGAAAGCCUGACCCAGCAACGCCGCGUGAAGGAAGAAGGUCUUCGGAUCGUAAACUUCUAUCCUUGGUGAAGAUAAUGACGGUAGCCGAGAAGGAAGCCCCGGCUAACUACGUGCCAGCAGCCGCGGUAAUACGUAGGGGGCAAGCGUUGUCCGGAAUGAUUGGGCGUAAAGGGCGCGUAGGCGGCCUGAUAAGUCUGGAGUGAAAGUCCUGCUUUUAAGGUGGGAAUUGCUUUGGAUACUGUCGGGCUUGAGUGCAGGAGAGGUAAGUGGAAUUCCCGGUGUAGCGGUGAAAUGCGUAGAGAUCGGGAGGAACACCAGUGGCGAAGGCGACUUACUGGACUGUAACUGACGCUGAGGCGCGAAAGUGUGGGGAGCAAACAGGAUUAGAAACCCCGGUAGUCC